CAGCACUCUUCCUAUUUGGCGACGUAGUCGUGGAGCCUAUCUGGUGGCUUCAGCUGCGUUCUUGGUUGGAGCUUCCUCCCUUCCACGACUCCCUCCCGGUUCGCCAACUCUGUUCCUACUUGAACCUCCAAGUCCUCGCCAGUUGGGGGUGUCGUCUCAGCCGUUUCAUCUGACAUCGCCUCCCUUCCUUGCUCACUCACAAUCGGUUCCUCCUGGGAAUCUGGUGUGUAGAGAAAAUGCCAGCCCCAGGAAGAAGAUAGAUAUCACCUGGUGAAGGAAGCUGGCAAGGGAAAUUAAGCAGAAGGAUGAAAAGCCACUAGACUGAGGAUCAUCGAUUGGAGGGAAAAAUAGGAAUCACAAGAACAGUCUAGAAGCUUUAUCCACUAUAAAAAGGAGCACGCAAACAACAUGAACGAUCAUCACCUUUUCCAGCUCCUAGCUUAGUUUUCUAUUUUUCUACACACUCAUUUGGGGGAAAUUUUCUAGGGGUUCUCGUUUCAUAAGAAGUUUGGGUGCAACACCGUCUCUACGGAGGCGAAGAAACAAUUAUCUUUUAUCUUCUGUUUACUUUUGGUACUCACCGAGUCUUCGUUGUUCGAGGCUCAGCUUUUGCGUUGUUUUUAUCGUUGGAUAUUUCGUAUUUUGCAAUGGAUAUUUCUAUUUAUGUUU